UACGUAGGGAGCAAGCGUUGUCCGGAAUCAUUGGGCGUAAAGAGCGUGUAGGCGGCCCGGUAAGUCGGUUGUGAAAGUCAAGGGCUCAACCCUUGAAAGCCGACCGAUACUGCCGGGCUAAAAUCCGGAAGAGGCGAGUGGAAUUCCUGGUGUAGCGGUGAAAUGCGCAGAUAUCAGGAGGAACACCAAUGGCGAAGGCAGCUCGCUGGGACGGUAUUGACGCUGAGACGCGAAAGCGUGGGGAGCAAACAGG
rnacentral:rRNA from 1 species